CAGCUAGCUUAGCCUAGCGGUUACUUCAUCUUGCAGGAUUCCUCAAUCCUCGGUGGAGGGUUUGAUACCCCGCGGGUGCUGUCUGGUUUUUAG
rnacentral:vault_RNA from 1 species